CUACGGGACGCAGCAGUGGGGAAUCUUGGACAAUGGGCGCAAGCCUGAUCCAGCCAUGCCGCGUGAGUGAAGAAGGUCUUCGGAUUGUAAAGCUCUUUUGCCAGGGACGAUAAUGACGGUACCUGGAGAAUAAGCCCCGGCAAACUUCGUGCCAGCAGCCGCGGUAAUACGAAGGGGGCUAGCGUUGUGUCGGAAUUACUGGGCGUAAAGCGCACGUAGGCGGGUCGUUAAGUCAGGGGUGAAAUCCCGGAGCUCAACUCCGGAACUGCCUUUGAUACUGGCGAUCUUGAGAUCGGAAGAGGUGAGUGGAAUUCCCAGUGUAGAGGUGAAAUUCGUAGAUAUUGGGAAGAACACCAGUGGCGAAGGCGGCUCACUGGUCCGAUACUGACGCUGAGGUGCGAAGGCGUGGGGAGCAAACAGGAUUAGAUACCCGGGUAGUC
rnacentral:rRNA from 1 species